GGCUAAGCAUGGUAUAGUGGUUGGAAUGCUGAACUAGGGCUCUGGAAGACCAGGGUUCAAAUCCCUGCUCAGCCA